AGGGAAUAUUGCACAAUGGGCGAAAGCCUGAUGCAGCAACGCCGCGUGUGUGAUGAAGGCCUUCGGGUCGUAAAGCACUUUUGACCGGGAAGAUAAUGACGGUACCGGUCGAAUCAGCCUCGGCUAACUCCGUGCCAGCAGCCGCGGUAAUACGGAGGAGGCAAGCGUUAUCCGGAAUUAUUGGGCGUAAAGCGUCCGUAGGUGGUUGGACAAGUCUUCUGUUAAAGCGUGGGGCUUAACCCCAUAAGGGCGGGAGAAACUGUUCGGCUAGAGUGCGACAGGGGCAAGGGGAAUUCCCAGUGUAGCGGUGAAAUGCGUAGAGAUUGGGAAGAACACCGGUGGCGAAAGCGCCUUGCUGGGUCUGCACUGACACUGAGGGACGAAAGCUAGGGGAGCGAAAGGGAUUAGAUACCCCUGUAGUCCUAGCUGUAAACGAUGGGUACUAGGCGUUGUCCGUAUCGACCCGGGCAGUGCCGGAGCUAACGCGUUAAGUACCCCGCCUGGGGAGUACGCUCGCAAGAGUG
rnacentral:rRNA from 1 species